CGGUUGAUCCUGCCGGACCUGACUGCUAUCGGAUUGAUACUAAGCCAUGCGAGUCAUUGUAGUAAUACAAGGCAGACGGCUCAGUAACGCGUAGUCAACCUACCCUAUGGACGGGGAUAACCUCGGGAAACUGAGAAUAAUACCCGAUAGAACAUUAUGCCUGGAAUGGUUUAUGUUUCAAAUAAUUUAUUGCCGUAGGAUGGGACUGCGGCCUAUCAGUUUGUUGGUGAGGUAAUGGCCCACCAAGACUAUUACAGGUACGGGCUCUGAGAGGAGUAGCCCGGAGAUGGGUACUGAGACACGGACCCAGGCCCUAUGGGGCGCAGCAGGCGAGAAAACUUUGCAAUGUGCGAAAGCACGACAAGGUUAAUCCGAGUGGUUUCUGCUAAAGGAACCUUUUGUCAGUCCUAGAAACACUGAUGAAUAAGGGGUGGGCAAGUUCUGGUGUCAGCCGCCGCGGUAAAACCAGCACCUCAAGUGGUCAGGAUGAUUAUUGGGCCUAAAGCAUCCGUAGCCUGCUUUGUAAGUUUUCGGUUAAAUCCAUACGCUCAACGUAUGGGCUGCCGGGAAUACUGCAAAGCUAGGGAGUGGGAGAGGUAGACGGUACUCGGUAGGAAGGGGUAAAAUCCUUUGAUCUAUUGAUGACCACCUGUGGCGAAGGCGGUCUACCAGAACACGUCCGACGGUGAGGGAUGAAAGCUGGGGGAGCAAACCGGANUAGAUACCCGGGUAGUCCCAGCUGUAAACUAUGCAAACUCAGUGAUGCAUUGGCUUGAUGCCAAUGCAGUGCUGCAGGGAAGCCNUUAAGUUUNCCNNCUGNAANUANGUACGCAAG
rnacentral:rRNA from 1 species